rnacentral:rRNA from 1 species
GACGAACCGUCCAAACGUUAUUCGGAAUCACUGGGCUUAAAGGGUGCGUAGGCGGCGCGGUAAGUUGGGUGUGAAAUCCCUCGGCUCAACCGAGGAACUGCGCCCAAAACUACCGUGCUCGAGGGAGAUAGAGGUAAGCGGAACUUAGGGUGGAGCGGUGAAAUGCGUUGAUAUCCUAAGGAACACCGGUGGCGAAAGCGGCUUACUGGAUCUCUUCUGACGCUGAGGCACGAAAGCUAGGGUAGCGAACGGG